rnacentral:lncRNA from 1 species
CCCCUCCCUAUGUCCAUGUGUUCUUAUUGUACAACUCCCACUUAUGAGUGAGAACAUGCAGUGUUUGGUUUUCUGUUCCUCUGUUAGUUUGCUGAGGAUGAUGGCUUCCAGCUUCAUCCUUGUCCCUUCAAAGGACAUGAUCUCAUUCUUUAAAUGGCUGCAUAGUAUUCCAUGGUGCGUAUGUACCACAUUCUCUUUAUGUAGUCUAUCACUGAUAGGCAUUUGGGUUGGUUCCAUGUCUUUGCUAUGAGUACUGCAAUAAAUAUACACACGCAUAUGUCUCUAUAGAGAAUGAUUUAUAUUCCUUUGGGUAUAUACCCAGUAAUAGGACUGCUGGGUCAAAUGAUAUUUCUGGUUCUAGAUCCUUGAGGAAUUGCCACUCUGUCUUCCACAAUGGUUGAACUAACUUACGUUCCCACCAACAGUGUAAAAGCAUUCCUAUGUCUCCACAGCCUUGCCAGCUUCUAUUGUUUCUUGACUUUUUAAUAAUUGUCAUUUCUGACUCGCAUGAGAUGGUAUCUCAUUGUGGUUUUGAUUUGCAUUUCUCUAAUGAUCAGUGAUUAGCUGUUUUUGUUUUGUUUUUUUUUGAGACGGAGUCUUGCUCUUGUUGCUAAGGCUGGAGUGCAAUGGCACAAUCUCAGCUCACGCAACCUCUGCCUCUCAGGUUCAAGCGAUUCUCCUGCCUCAGCCUCCCGAGUAGCUGGGAUUACAGGCCCCCACCACCACAACUGCCUCAGCUUCCCAAAGUGCUGGGAUUACAGGCGUGAGCCACCGCGCCCAACUGAUGAGGUUUUUUCAUAUGUUUUUUGGCUACAUAAAUGUCCUUUUUUUUUUUUUUUUGAGACAAAGUCUCACUCUGUCGCCCAGGCUGGAGUGCAGUGGCGCAAUCUUGGCUCACUGCAACUUCCACUUCCCAGGUCAAGCAAUUCUCCUGUCUCAGCCUCUCGAGUAGCUGAGACUACAGACAUAAAUGUCUUCUUUUGCGAAGUGUCUGUUCAUAUCCUUUGCCCACUUUCUGAUGGUUUAUUUUUCUUGUAAAUCUGCUUAAGUUCCUUGUAGAUUCUGGAUAUUAGAUCUUUGUCAGGUGGGUAGACUGCAAAAAUUUUAUCCAAUUCUAUAGGUUGCCUGUUCACUCUGAUGAUAGUUUCUUUUGCUGAGCAGAAACUCUUUAGUUUAAUUAGAAUCCAUGUUGGCUUUUGCUGCAAUUGCUUUUGGUGUUUUUGUCAUGAAGUCUUUGCCCACGCCUAUGUCCUGAAUGGUACUGCCUAGGUUUUCUUCUAGGGUUUUUACGAUUUUGUGUUUUACAAUUAAGUCUUUAAUUCAUCUUGAGUUAAUUUUUGUAUAAGGUGUAAGGAAGGGGUCCAGUUUCAGUUUUCUGCAUAUGGCUAGCCAGUUUUCCCAGCAUCAUUUAUUAAAUAGGGAAUCCUUUCCCCAUUGCUUUUGUCGGGUUUGUCAAUGAUGAGAUGGUUGUGUAUGUGUGGUGUUAUUUCUGAGGUCUCUGUUCUGUUCCAUUGGUCUAUAUGCCUGUUUUGGUACCAAUACCACGUUGUUUUGGCUACUGUAGCCUUGUAGUAUAGUUUGAAGUUAGGUAUGUGAUGCCUACAGCUUUGUUCUUUUUGCUUAGGAUUGUCUUGGCUAUACAGGCUCUUUUUUGUUUCCAUAUGAAUUUUAAAGUAGUUUUUUCUAAUUCUGUGAAGAAUGCCAAUGGUAGUUUGAUGGGAAUAGCAUUAAAUCUAUUAAUUACUUUGGGCAGCCAGGAGUGGUGGCUCACAUCUAUAAUCCCAGCACUCUGGAAGGCCGAGGCAGGCGGAUCACGAGGUCAGGACAUCGAGACCAUCCUGGCUAACACGGCGAAACCCUGUGUCUACUAAAAAUACAAAAAAUUAGCUGGGCAUGGUGGUGCAUGCCUGUAGUCCCACCUACUCGGGAGGCUGAGGCAGGAGAA